rnacentral:lncRNA from 1 species
GGCAAGUCUGGACACAUAGCAAGACCCUGUCUCAAUACCACUACCACCACACAAACAACCACCCACAAAAAAAAUUACCUCUGGGCUGGAGAGAUGGCUCAGCUGCUAAAGAGCACUUGGUGCUCUUCCAGAGGACCAAUGUUUGAUUUGCAGCAUUCAUAUGGUGGCUCCCAAACAUCUGUUUCAGGGGACCUGUCCACCCACUUCUGGCCUCCACAAGGGCAUCAGGCACAAACAAUAUGCAGCCAUACAUGCAAGCAAGACACCUAUACACAUAAAAUAAGAAUUAUGCCACUAAAAUUGCCACUAUUUCUGUAAACACCUAUUCCCAUUGGACUGACUGGCCCCUGAGAACAGACUUUUGUAACCAUUAUCUUUGAGUUUUCAGUCUUGCAACAAUGUCACGGUGAAUGUAUUUAGUAAGUAUCCAGUGACCGAAGCAGUUGAACUAAGGCCUCUGCAUAGCCUCCUCCUCUGUAGUUUGGGUGGCUAUAGCAGACCCAAGUAAUUCAUUUCGGGCCAGAGAUGGUAUUCUGCAGUUAGCAGAAGCACUUGGUGAUUCUGCUGGUAGAGUUCUGUCCCCUGGUUAGGUUCCCUUUGGAUGUGUAUAGUUUCUUUAUCUUUUGUUUGCUUGUUUGUUUGUUCUGGUUUUGGGGACAGUGGGGUUCAAGACAGUUUCUCUGGGUAGUUCUGGCUGUCCUAGAACUUGCUCUGUAGACCAGGACAGUCUCCAAAGCCACAGAGAAACCCUGUCUCGAAAAACCAAAAAAAGAAAAGAAAAGAAAAGGAAAGAAAGUGAGCUGAGCAAAGUAUGAGGAAUAAGCCACUAAGCAGUGACUCCUACUUUCCGGGUUCCUGCCUUGAGAUCCUGUGACGACCCCUCAGUGAUGGGAGUGUGACCUGAGAGUGGAAGGAAGCUGAAACAAAUCCUUUUCUCCCCAAGUUGCUUUCGGUCAUGGUGUCUUAUCUCAACAAUGGAAACUCUCUAAGACACCCACCCACCCUUCAAAGGUAUUCCCGUGGAAAACAAAGCAAAGGGUGAAAGCAAUGAGUCUGGGGCCGGCUGCUGUUCCACUGUUGAGCACCUACGAGGCGUCUCCGUACCGUGAUGAGUCAGA